ensembl:snRNA U4 U4 spliceosomal RNA
ACCUUUGCACAGUGACAGUAGCAUAGCCAAUGAGGUUUAUCCAUGGCAUGAUUAUUGCUAAUAGAAAAUUUUCUCAAGAGUAGUUAUUUAUAAUGCUUGUGUGUUGGAGACCACUACACUAAGCGGCUCUGAGCU